GUGGGUGUGCCGGAGUGGUCAUCGGGCAGGACUAGAAAUUAAAUGGGCUUUGCCCGCGUAGGUUCGAAUCUUAUCGCUCACG
rnacentral:tRNA from 1 species